UGUCUGAGUUCUUAAAACUUUUGUUUGCCUUCUAGCUUGCAGAUGGGUUAAUUUUAGAGAAGACAUCAUCUCCUAUAGGAGUUCUCUUAAUUGUUUUUGAAUCUUGCCCUGAUGCACUUGUACAGAACAUGGAAGCAUGUGCAGCGACUAAUCAUCAUAUUGCAAGAAUCACCUCUCAUCUUCAGUCACCCAAUUUCAAGGAUGGUGGUGAUCAAAAGGAGGGGCACCGGGAUUCAAGGUAGCAAUCUUGGGGGCUGCUGGUGCAAUUGGCCAAUCCCUAUCUUUGCUGAUGUCUCAAGACAAACCUCCUAAGUACUAAGUUAGCAAAUAAUUAUUAUACAUGAUGAUGGAGCUAGAUUAUUAACCAAUUUCGUGAAUAGUUGGGGACUUAGCAGACCCCAUUGAUGGAGGCCCUUGUUAUAAACUUUACACAAAAUCCUUCUAUGAGUUCACUGAAGGAGGGUGGCAUAUUUGUGACACAGGCAUAACCUGUUGGAAUAUUCAGCCACACUAAGGUCUUUUCAUCUAUCUACAAUACAUUGAGACAGGUUUUUAAGUGCUUUAGAUUUUCUAUUAGAGUUGGAUGUAGAAGAGAUAGACCUGAGAAUAAAACAAAGGAUUAAAGGGCAAAACAGUCUCCAACUGGAACAAGCUAAAAUAGUCUUCAUAUUUUCCACAAUUUUCUUUAUAUAGAUUGGAGGAAAAAAUUUCCAAUUCAGAGUCAGAAAACCAAGUUCUUCGCCAGCAAGCAUUGGCUGUAUCACUAACUGGAAAAGCUUUGACUACAAGAUUAAUACCUGAGGCAUUACUUCUACUUCAACAACUGACACAUAAUUUGAUAAUACU